GACGAACGCUGGCGGCGUGCUUAACACAUGCAAGUCGAACGGAAAGGCCCUGCUUUUGUGGGGUGCUCGAGUGGCGAACGGGUGAGUAACACGUGAGUAACCUGCCCUUGACUUUGGGAUAACUUCAGGAAACUGGGGCUAAUACCGGAUAGGAGCUCCUGCUGCAUGGUGGGGGUUGGAAAGUUUCGGCGGUUGGGGAUGGACUCGCGGCUUAUCAGCUUGUUGGUGGGGUAGUGGCUUACCAAGGCUUUGACGGGUAGCCGGCCUGAGAGGGUGACCGGCCACAUUGGGACUGAGAUACGGCCCAGACUCCUACGGGAGGCAGCAGUGGGGAAUAUUGCACAAUGGGCGGAAGCCUGAUGCAGCAACGCCGCGUGCGGGAUGACGGCCUUCGGGUUGUAAACCGCUUUCGCCUGUGACGAAGCGUGAGUGACGGUAAUGGGUAAAGAAGCACCGGCUAACUACGUGCCUGCAGCCGCGGUGAUACGUAGGGUGCGAGCGUUGUCCGGAUUUAUUGGGCGUAAAGGGCUCGUAGGUGGUUGAUCGCGUCGGAAGUGUAAUCUUGGGGCUUAACCCUGAGCGUGCUUUCGAUACGGGUUGACUUGAGGAAGGUAGGGGAGAAUGGAAUUCCUGGUGGAGCGGUGGAAUGCGCAGAUAUCAGGAGGAACACCAGUGGCGAAGGCGGUUCUCUGGGCCUUUCCUGACGCUGAGGAGCGAAAGCGUGGGGAGCGAACAGGCUUAGAUACCCUGGUAGUCCACGCUGUAAACGGUGGGUACUAGGUGUGGGGUCCAUUCCACGGGUUCCGUGCCGUAGCUAACGCUUUAAGUACCCCGCCUGGGGAGUACGGCCGCAAGGCUAAAACUCAAAGGAAUUGACGGGGCCCCGCACAAGCGGCGGAGCAUGCGGAUUAAUUCGAUGCAACGCGUAGAACCUUACCUGGGUUUGACAUGGAUCGGGAGUGCUCAGAGAUGGGUGUGCCUCUUUUGGGGUCGGUUCACAGGUGGUGCAUGGCUGUCGUCAGCUCGUGUCGUGAGAUGUUGGGUUAAGUCCCGCAACGAGCGCAACCCUUGUUCACUGUUGCCAGCACGUUAUGGUGGGGACUCAGUGGAGACCGCCGGGGUCAACUCGGAGGAAGGUGGGGAUGACGUCAAGUCAUCAUGCCCCUUAUGUCCAGGGCUUCACGCAUGCUACAAUGGCUGGUACAGAGAGUGGCGAGCCUGUGAGGGUGAGCGAAUCUCGGAAAGCCGGUCUCAGUUCGGAUUGGGGUCUGCAACUCGACCUCAUGAAGUCGGAGUCGCUAGUAAUCGCAGAUCAGCAACGCUGCGGUGAAUACGUUCCCGGG
rnacentral:rRNA from 1 species